UGGAGCCGCCUCUCAAUCAAGCUUCAACUAAUGGGGCUAGGGGCUGGGCGAAGGCGGGGCAGGUGGGCCCCCGGCCCAGGACACCCCCGCCCGGAUUCCGGCGGCUGCUACAGUCCUCCUUGGUUGGGUCAGCAGUUUUGGUUGUGUUAACCGCUGCGCUGGGGCCUAGGCGCCUGUCCGAGCCCUGACCCCUGAGAGCCACAGGGCGGAAGGUCUCCAAACGGACCGUCCUGUGCCGCCUAUUUUCGCCUAGCUUGCCGAGACUGACCCGACAUUCCUGCCAGUUUGCCCAGGACGAGGUCGUGACCUCCCGUGGCGAAGCCCACCCCGGUCUAGCCGCGACUAGGGGGUCUCUCCGAUUGCUGACGGCUGCUAAAGCGACGAGGACUAAGGCUUGCAGAUGUUUGGAUCCGUUAGGUGGGGACCCCGUGCCGCAUUUGUGUGAUACAGGCUUAAAUGGUGAGCUCCACGUUGCCUGUUAAAUUCCACUCACUUCACAGACUUGGAAUGUCCUCUGGUACAACACUGACAUGAAAAACUGGCCCACUCUCUGACUGGGGAGUUCUCCGUUCAGCUGAGCGCUGCCAACCACCAAAUCACUGAGUAACUCUAUUAACAAAACUAAGGAAGAGCAUUUUGAAGCCUAAGAAGGUCACACAAGAAAACCCAACCAGUCCGUUUUCAGCUGCUUCAUCUCCCGUCCGGCAUUUUGACACCCAGUGGUGGUAUUAUCAUCAGUCUAACUCAGUGAGGUGCAGUUUCAGUGCUUGCCUGAAAUCUCGUGGUGCUUGGGGCUCCAAAGGCCCCUCAGUCAGAAAUAAGAUCCCAGUUCUACUCACUCUGGAGGCCACAAGCUGAAGCUGAGGCACAACUGCUGUGUGGACCAGGUUCCCAUUCACCACCAGGCGGAUCUCCAUGGAGUCGGUGGUGAAGGCCAGGAGGUACGGGAAAGCACAGACUGCAAGAAAUUCUCUGAAAAAAGCCCCUUUCUACAAGUAGAAAAGUCUACGGAGGUUAACAACUGGAGUCUGAAUAAACACUCUGAUGGAUUGGGAAUAAAAGAAGGGCGACAAAAAAACAAAACAAAAACCUUGUUGUGCCACGCAAAGUGUAUAAUCCUCACAACAGUUGUAUGAAGAACUGACUUAAAUGAUAAAAAUCAUCUUCAAAUUUCGCAAGGAACAAAAUCAUUCUCCAGCACCUUACUGAAAUGAGCUUUUACUGUACAGGCGUCUGUGACCAAGACAAAACUUGGAAUAAAACAAUCAAAUGCAAGUGUGUACUGUGUGCGGGGGAGAACGAGUUACAGAAGUGACCUGAGGUAACUGUGAGAAAAGACAACUGGUUCUCCUAGGGUUGUUCACCAGGUUCCUCUAAUCUGCUGACAAAGAGGAAGAUGGAAAAUUAAAGCCAGACUCCUGAGUCAAUAAAACAGGAGGAGCUGGCAUAGUUUGGUGAGGACUGAGGUGGGUCUGGGAUCCUCUGGGAUUUACAAGGCCUUGACCCACCUGUGAUCUAAAGAUACAGAGAUUACUGUCUGAUGGCUGGAAGCAUCUAUGAAACAGACACACACUGAUCCCUCAUGAGAUGAAACCAGAGCCUGAAGCCAGGAAAUAAUCAAAGGCAGGAAAAAUGGGACUCCUGAGGAAGGCUCCCUGAGAUGAUGAGGCUGCUCGAACCACACCUGGUAUAGGGUGCUGGGCCACCCCUGCCUGAUGGAACUAAGUGAGUAACACAGCUUGUUCCAGAAAAACUUCAAAUUUGCUACAGAGCUAAUGUCAUUCACAUUUGCUUCUAUCUUCCCUUUUUGUUUUGGGACUAAUUUUCCCAUUCUAAAACCUCUUCUACCUUUCCAAACUCCUCUCCCACCUAAAAUCUCUCCUAUUCUUUUAAGCAGUUAAAAACAAAAACAAAUCUAAAUCAGCUUUUUUUUUUAAAGCAUCAUCAAUUUCCAGUUUAGUGUCUAUUAAAAAAAAAAAAUCUGUUGCUGUCAAGUUGAUUCCGACUCAUAGCGACCCUAUAGGACAGCUAUAGCAGCUCUAAAAGGUAAAUUAAAAAAAAAUUUUAUUACGGUAAAAAUAUAUAUAAUAAAAUGUUUGCUAAUUCAAUGAUUUUUACAUGUACAAUUCAGUGAUGUUAUGUUCAGUAUGUGCAAUCAGCACUACUAUCCUUUUUCAAAUUAUUCCACCACCAUUAACAGAAAUGCAGUGUAAAUCAGUUUUUAAGGCAAUCAUCCGGCCACAAGGUCUUCUCACAGGUUUUUCAACAAAGAGGCCAUGCUUUCAAGAUUAAACACGUUAUAGAAAUGACUUCAGACACGUGGUCAACUAUUCCCCUUGUCCCUGUAAACCGUGAGACACAGGGCAGCAGCAGCAGGGGCCUGGCCACCUGAGCACUGGCAUUUAGGAACCACACUGGAGUGUGGGCAGUGGGUCUUGUUUCCUGCCACCUUGGCUGAGGGCCCUUGUCAUCAAAUAGGCUACUGCAGACCUGUUGUUUCAGGAGAGUUUAGACGGAUUUGUAGAUAAAAUAUCAAAAAAGGGCAACUUAUUGAUGGAAGAGGUUCUGUCUUUGUGACUACUUUCUCCUUACUUAUUUCGUACAGAUCUCAAUUCUGAAAGAUGAUGUCUAUGAUACAAGUUGCUCUCAUUGAUAAUUACUUUUCCUAAUCAAAAUAUUAAUGAAAAUAUUGGCCCAUGUGAUAUAACCAGCAUCACAACUAUAAAUUGAUACAAUUCCAGGCUAAAGAAAUAUGUUUUAUUUUUUAGUUAGUCUGUGCAGCCUUAUCCAGGAAAAUACCUUACUUCUAUUAACAUUAAAACACACACACACAUUUUUAUUGAAGUGUAACAAUUAGCUUUUGAAAUGCUGAAAAAUGCUUAAGGACUCUGUUUGAUACCUUUUGGUCUGUCUACUACCCACCCUGUCACCUAACUCAAACUAACCCAACUGAGGUCUGAAUACACCAGGCUGAGGCUGAUUUCAUUAAUAUCUGAGAAAUACUAAGAAAGAAGAAACUUGGAAUAACUGUGGUUAAAGUUCUGGGUGCUAGAGUCAAGAGGGCACCAGCUGCAAGUCCUGGCUCUGGUGCUUACUAGCUGCAUGAUGUUGAGAAAGGCAGUUCACCUCUCCGGGCCUCAGCUGUCUGAUCUCUAAACUCAGGACAAUAACAGUGCCUGUUCAGGGCCAUCGUGAGAAUUAAAGGACACAGUGACUAUAGCAUACGGAGCACAACACAUGGCACACAGUAAGAACGUCCUAAAUGGAAGCUCUGUCAUCACCACCAUAUCAUGGAGACAGCGCCCUGGAUGGUAUCUCUAGCACCAUCUCACCAAAAGGUCUGGGGAGUAUCUGGGACCCCAGGUUGGGCAUCAGGUAGGGAUGCAUUUCUCAGAUGCUCCCUGGUGUGUAAUUAUGGACACAGGAACAACAUACAGUGGCAUCACUAGCGGGGUGCAUGGCGUGCGGACCACACCAGGUUACAGUGGCAGAGAAGGUGACACAAAAUGACUGUCUAUAAAAUUUUUGUGCAGUAUUUCUGCAGACAUUAUUUUUAUAAAAAUAUCCCUAUAGUUAUAACAACAAAAAUUUUUUUCGUAAACCCAGAUCACAGGUAUCAAUAUACCAACAAGGCUAAAACUCUACACUAAUUUACUUUUUAACCUUCUAAUAUGCUCCGGUCAGAGCUGUCAUUGUUGCCUAAUUACAACAACGCUUCCAAUCACGUGGUCUCAUCUGCAUACACCACAAACACAUGCUGUUGUUUCAGCUGCUGCCAGUGUUUUGACAGUUGCUGAUUUUGUCAAAUUUUCUGGUGUUUUAGCUACAGUAUUGUGGUAAUUAGCAUGGGGGGUACCAUACUGGGUGACACCAAUCGUAGCAACACCACUGACGAUACAUCAGGUAAAUCUAAGGAUAAAUCCCUUUAAAUUGCCCCCCCCAAAUAACAGUCCAUUUUAGCAAAUAAAGAUAAAAACACAUCCUUAACUUACAGUUGUAACACAAUAGCAGACCAGCUUCUCCAUCUUCAUACACAUCAAUAGCUGCAACAAAAUUAACCUGCAAUGAUAAUGGGCAAUGGUAGUGGGCAGGUUGGACACUGACACUAUUCCAAGACUUUCUCAAUUCGCAAGCGUUUGGCAAUGGCCCUUGGCCUUCCAUAAACUCAGGUGCUGGGGGAUCAUUUCUACCUCACCAACACCCAUAAUGCCACAUGGGGGCCAUGAUUACCAUACACUGUAGGUAUAUAAGAAACGUCUUUCCUCUUUCUCCACUGGGGCUUUUUCAUUAUCUUUUCACACUCUUUGAGCUCUGUUCCCAGGUAUCUCUACUUUGUCUAUAUUAAAAUGCCUCAUAUGUGUACAGUGAGCUGUAAUACAAAGCAUUUCACGUGGGUUAUUCAUUUCACCCUCACAUCAGCACUGGAAAGUAGAUGGUAUUAAUCUCAUUUUACAGAUAACAAAAGUGAGGCUCAGGGAUGUGAAGUCACUUAAGUGCCACAGCCAAGAUCUGAACCAGGUCUGAAUUCUUUUUCUAUCUUAUUGCUCCUGCACCUUCACCUAGCCUUCCCCUUGCCUCAAACAUGUAGGAUUUCUGAAUCUUGAAAUCACCAUGGCAUGCCUUCACUUCUACUCUCUCUCCUUUGUUUCAAGGGAGGCAGCAUGAUGCAAUGAAAAGGGUAUGCUCUGGAGCAAAUUUAUCUCUCUGGGCCUCAGUUUCUGCAUUGGAGAAGAUGGUGCUUAACCUGAUGAUGUCCUGGUCCUUCUUGAUAGUUCCUCUAAAAAUCUCCUGCUCCUUUCAUUUCUUCACUCUUAUAAUCCACUGCUGUUCCCACAUCACCAGAGAAACUGCCCUCUCUGAGCUCAACGAAGGCUCCCUUCUCCUCCAAACUGAAGGCUUUUAGCUAAUGCUCAUCUUUGACCAAUUCUCCACAGCCUCUAACAUAUGACAUAUCCUCCUUCCUGCCCUCUUGCCUCACUUCAGAUUAUUCUUCCAUUUCUUGGCUCUUUCCUCACUUAGAAAAUCCCUACCUUUAUAGCUUCAAAUAUUACUCUGUAUUCAAAAUUCCUAAAUCUACACACUCAGGCCCACAUCCACUCAGAGCUCCAGUCCUAGUAUGUGUGUGUGUGGUGGUGGCGAUGGAUAGGAACAUCCACUCUGGUCAGACAGACCUGAUUUAAGACCCUGGCUACACCACUAACCACCUGUGCAGUUUGUGACACAUGGUUUAACCUUUAGUCUCAGGUCUUCAUCUAUAAAACUGGCAUAAUUAUAAUACUUAUUUCACUGGAUUAUAGCGAGAAUUCACUGAAACAAAGCAAAGAUUUUAGCACAGAGCCCGACACAUAUUAAGCACUCAGUGAGGCUAUUUAUCUUUCACAGAAUUAGCUUCCCUUUUAAACUUCCUCCUUUAUGUUAGCUGAACUCUCUUCAAAGUCUUAGGGGUUCCUCCCCCUCUCUCAUCCAAGUCCAGCAGCAUCCUCUUCACAGGAGCUCUCAGACGCCUUUUCUGCACCCACAGCUGAGUGAGCCUCCCCAGGCAGGAGCACCGUGUUAUCACGUGUUGACUUGUCUGUCUUUAGCCCCUUCUAAUCUCUGCAUUGUACUCCUCCAACAGGCCGUCCACCUAGCCACCCCUCCUCUUCAUGCUCUCACCAAAAUGCAGCCUCUUCCUCUCAACAGUCUCAUCCUUGUGCUAAAUCCCCAGCUGCCCGCCCUGAGCCAGGCCUCUACCUUAUUUCCAGGCAGACCCUCCAAUGGAACUCACGUCCCUUUUCCCAUCAGACAUUCACUCAUCUGUCAUUCCCUGGCCCUGUACUAGCACGGGAAACCCUGGUGGUGUACUGCUUAAGAGCUAUGGCUGCUAACCAAAAGGCUGGCAGUUCGAAUCCACCAGGCGCUCCCUAGAAACCCUAUGGGGCAGUUCUACUCUAUCCUACAGGGUUGCUAGGAGUUAGACUCAAAUCGGUGGCAAUGGGUUUGGUUUUUAGUUUUGUACUAGGGCCAUGAAGGAUACAGAAAUGAAUAAGGCAGGGUUCCAUCCCUUACGAUAAAAAAAUCAGAAAAGUAUACAAGUACAUAAAACAAGGUAUAAUGGGGUAAAUGCCAUAGCCAUAACCAAGAUUUGUGGGAACUUCAGAGGAAACAGGAGACAGUGAGGCCCAGCUGUCAAGAGCACUGACUCUGGGAACAAAAAGACUUGUGAGUCAAAUCCCAAGUAAUUUCCCCUUUGGUAUAUAUCAUAUCCCCCUAUUUUAAUAAUCUGCAUAGCAUAUAUUACUAUCUGAUGUUUACUGAUUUAUUUCUUUAUUGUAGAUCUUCUUCCCACUAAAACAUAAGCUUCAUGAAGACAGAGGUCAUUGCCGUAUCCUCAGUAUCUAGAUCAGGGCUUGGCACAUAGCAGGAGCAAAAUCAAUACCUGUUGAAUGAAUGGCUGAAUAAAUAAGAUCUCAGCUCUGUUUCUUUAGAGUUGUGUGCACUUAAAUCAGCUGUUUAGCCUCCCAGAACCUCAGUUUAUUCAUUUGUAAAAUGAGAGCUAAUACCUUUACAGCAGGGCUUCGAAUUGGUUUGUUCUGAUUUGAACCCCUGCUGGGACUCUGCAUUUUCAUCCCAGAUAUACUGAACCCAAAUCUUCAGUUUAACAGUACCCCCAGGUAAUUCUUAUGUAUAAUAAUUUUAGAUGCUCCGCUCUACUGGUAAAGAACACUAGUAGCGAAGUGGUUAAAGCGAUCAACUGCUAACCAAAAGGUCAGCAGUUUGAAACCACCAGCAGCUUUGAGGGAGAAAGAUGCGGCAGUUUGCUUCCGCAGGGAUUUAUAGCGUUGGAAACCCUGAGAGGUCACUAUGAGUAGGAAUCAACUUGACAGCAGUGGGUUUGGUUUUGCUUUUUUUU